rnacentral:tRNA from 1 species
CGGAGCGUAGCUCAGCCUGGUAGAGCGCUAGCUUUGGGAGCUAGAUGUCGGGGGUUCGAAUCCUCUCGCUCCGACCA